rnacentral:lncRNA from 1 species
CUCCAGUGCUGUGGAAACAGAGGAGGGAAGGGGGGAGAAGAGGAGAAGCAAACGGAGUGUACAACGGUACCAAAUGAAGGGCUGUGCGAAGUUGCCGGAUAUUUGUGGGAACUGGUUCACGCUGUCGUACACGUCGAUCCAGAGCAUCCCAAACAUGCUCAAUGGGUGACAUGUCUGGUGAGUAUGCAGGCCAUGGAAGAACUGGGACAUGUACAGAUCCUUGCGACAUCAAAUCAAAGUUUAUUUGUCACGUGCUCCGAAUACAACAGGUAUACAGUGAAAUGGGGCUGUACAUGAUCAUGCUGAAACAUGAGGUGAUGAUGGGUGAUGAAUGGCAUGACAAUGGACCUCAGGAUCUUGUCACGGUAUUACCAUCGACAAAAUACAAUUGUGUUUGUUGUCGGUAGCUUAUGCCUGCCCAUACCAUAACCACAUCUUCACCAUGGGGCACUCUGUUCAACAUUGACAUGAGAAAACCACUCGCCUACACAACGCUAUGCACGUGGUCUGCGGUUGUGAGGCUGGUUGGACGUACUGACAAAUUGUCUAAAACAACGUUGGAGGGGGCUUAUGGUUGAGAAAUGAACAUUCAAUUAUCUAGCAAGGUUGAUCAACAACUUUGAUGGGCAUUCCUUCUGUCAGUAUGCCAAUUGCACGCUCCCUCAAAACUUGAGACAUCUGUGGCAUUGUGUUGUGUGACAAAACUGUACAUUUUAGAGUGGCCUUCUAUUAUCCCCAGCACAAGGUGCACCUGUGUAAUGAUCAUGCUAUUAAAUCAGCUUCUUGAUAUGCCACACCUGUCUGGUGGAUGGAUUAUCUUGGCAAAGGAGAAAUGCUCACUAACAGGGAUGUAAACGAAUUUGUGCACACAAUUUUAGAAAAAUAAGCUUUUCAGCUCAUGAAACAUGGGACCAACACAUUACAUGUUGCAUUUAUAUUUUUGUUCAGUGUACUCCUUGUGUAUAGAGUUGUACGGGUUGUUUAAGUUUGCAAUCAAUGGUUUUUGUUUGGCAUACAUCUAAAUGUGAAAACUUGAGUCUCUGCAUCAUUCUGUUAGCAUGGAAUUGCCCUUCAUCCAUUACACUUAUUAUACCUGACUCCCACUUCUCCUCUUGAGGGUCCCCCCUCUGCUGUCACUGUGCGUCAGACGCCUGGUCGAA